GGGAGCAUAGUUUAGUUGACUAAAACCCAGCCCUGAUAAGGCUGAGACCCGAGUUUGAUACUUGGUGCUCCUACCA
rnacentral:tRNA from 1 species